rnacentral:rRNA from 1 species
AUGGGGAAGAGCGAGCUGAAGGCCAUGGCGAACCGGGCGAAGGCCAAGGGGCUGCAGAAGCUGCGGUGGUACUGCCAGAUGUGCGAGAAGCAGUGCCGCGACGAGAACGGCUUCAGGUGCCACUGCUCGUCGGAGUCGCACCGGCGGCAGAUGGCCGUGUUCGGCCAGGCCCCCGGCCGCGCCGUCGAGCGCUUCUCCGGCGAGUUCCUCGAGGCGUUCCUCGCGCUGCUCCGCCACGGCCACCGCGGCUCCCGCGUCGCCGCCACCGUCGUCUACAGCGAGCUCGUCGCCGACCGCCGCCACGUGCACAUGAACUCCACGCGCUGGGCCACGCUCACGGAGUUCGUCGAGCUCCUCGGGCGCCAGGGCCUCGCCAGGGUCGAGCACACGCCCAAGGGCUGGUUCGUCGCCUACAUCGACAGGGGCUAUGAGCAGGCCGCCAAGGCCGGGCUCAAGCGCAAGAGGGGCCAAGGACCGAAGCAACCGGAAGGACCACUGGCUGAGCCCUGGCAUCGUGGUCAAGGCAGGUACGUCGGCGAGAUCGAGAUGCUGGAGAGCAAGCAUGUCGCCAGGGUCGACCAAGAUGAGCUCGAGACCGUCAUCCCGCAGAUCGGCGGGCUGGUACGGGUUGUCAAUGGCGCUUACCGGGGGUCGAACGCGAGGCUGCUCUCGGUGGACAUGGAGAGGUUCUCUGCCAGACUGCGGGUUGAGAAGGGCUUCUAUGAGGGGAGAGUUCUCGAGGCGGUCGAGUAUGAGGACAUCUGCAAGGUUGCUUAA